AUGAACGCUGGCGGCGUGCUUGAUACAUGCAAGUCGAACGGAUCGAGUCGCAAGGCUUGGUCAGUGGCGGACGGGUGAGUAACACGUAGGUAAUCUGCCCCAAAGUGGGGAAUAACUGUUCGAAAGGGCGGCUAAUUCCGCAUGAGCUCCUUCGCAAGGGGGAGGAAAGGGACGCGAGUCCCGCUUUGGGAUGAGCCUGCGGCCGAUUAGCUAGUUGGCGGGGUAAAGGCCCACCAAGGCGACGAUCGGUAGCUGGUCUGAGAGGACGAUCAGCCACACUGGAACUGAUACACGGUCCAGACUCCUACGGGGGGCAGCAGUAAGGAAUAUUGCACAAUGGGGGAAACCCUGAUGCAGCAACGCCGCGUGAGCGAAGAAGGCCUUCGGGUCGUAAAGCUCUUUUCUGGGGGACGAGGAAGGACGGUACCUCAGGAAUAAGUCUCGGCUAACUACGU
rnacentral:rRNA from 1 species